rnacentral:rRNA from 1 species
GACGAACGCUGGCGGCGUGCUUAACACAUGCAAGUCGAACGGAAAGGCCCUGCUUUUGUGGGGUGCUCGAGUGGCGAACGGGUGAGUAACACGUGAGUAACCUGCCCUUGACUUUGGGAUAACUUCAGGAAACUGGGGCUAAUACCGGAUAGGAGCUCCUGCUGCAUGGUGGGGGUUGGAAAGUUUCGGCGGUUGGGGAUGGACUCGCGGCUUAUCAGCUUGUUGGUGGGGUAGUGGCUUACCAAGGCUUUGACGGGUAGCCGGCCUGAGAGGGUGACCGGCCACAUGGGGACUGAGAUACGGCCCAGACUCCUACGGGAGGCAGCAGUGGGGAAUAUUGCACAAUGGGCGGAAGCCUGAUGCAGCAACGCCGCGUGCGGGAUGAAGGCCUUCGGGUUGUAAACCGCUUUCGCCUGUGACGAGGCGUGAGUGACGGUAAUGGGUAAAGAAGCACCGGCUAACUACGUG